UACGUAGGGUGCGAGCGUUAAUCGGAAUUACUGGGCGUAAAGGGUGCGCAGGCGGCCAUGCAAGUCAGAUGUGAAAGCCCCGGGCUUAACCUGGGAAUUGCGUUUGAAACUGCAAGGCUAGAGUGCAACAGAGGGGAGUGGAAUUCCAUGUGUAGCAGUGAAAUGCGUAGAGAUGUGGAAGAACACCGAUGGCGAAGGCAGCUCCCUGGGUUGACACUGACGCUCAUGCACGAAAGCGUGGGGAGCAAACAGGAUUAGAUACCCUGGUAGUCCACGCCCUAAACUAUGUCAACUAGUUGUCGGAUCUAAUUAAGGAUUUGGUAACGUAGCUAACGCGUGAAGUUGACCGCCUGGGGAGUACGGUCGCAAGAUUAAA
rnacentral:rRNA from 1 species